UACGAAGGGUGCAAACGUUGCUCGGAAUUAUUGGGCGUAAAGCGCACGUAGGCGGCUAUCUAAGUCGGAUGUGAAAUCCCUCGGCUUAACCAAGGAAGUGCACCCGAAACUGGAUAGCUUGAGUACAGAAGAGGAUCGCGGAAUUCCCGGUGUAGAGGUGAAAUUCGUAGAUAUCGGGAGGAACACCAGUGGCGAAGGCGGCGAUCUGGGCUGAUACUGACGCUGAAGCGCGAAAGCUAGGGGAGCAAACAGG
rnacentral:rRNA from 1 species